AUGUGGCAGAGAAGGGGAGGUGAAAUGGGGUCAUCGGAGGUAUGCUGGGCUCUUGGAUAUACUGUUGCAACUCUAUUUUUUGCAGUGGUGGAGAUGUCAAUUGAUACCAUUGUUCUCUCAUUUUGCCAAGAUUCUGAAGAACACCAAGGGACAGCACAGUAUGCUCCACCUCUUCUCAUUGAAUCUCUUGGUAACCAAAGUGAGAUGCAUAGACUCGCCCAAGGAUCACAAUGA